AAUGGGUCAGCGACUUAUAUUCUGUAGCAAGGUUAACCGAAUAGGGGAGCCGAAGGGAAACCGAGUCUUAACUGGGCGUUAAGUUGCAGGGUAUAGACCCGAAACCCGGUGAUCUAGCCAUGGGCAGGUUGAAGGUUGGGUAACACUAACUGGAGGACCGAACCGACUAAUGUUGAAAAAUUAGCGGAUGACUUGUGGCUGGGGGUGAAAGGCCAAUCAAACCGGGAGAUAGCUGGUUCUCCCCGAAAGCUAUUUAGGUAGCGCCUCGUGAAUUCAUCUCCGGGGGUAGAGCACUGUUUCGGCAAGGGGGUCAUCCCGACUUACCAACCCGAUGCAAACUGCGAAUACCGGAGAAUGUUAUCACGGGAGACACACGGCGGGUGCUAACGUCCGUCGUGAAGAGGGAAACAACCCAGACCGCCAGCUAAGGUCCCAAAGUCAUGGUUAAGUGGGAAACGAUGUGGGAAGGCCCAGACAGCCAGGAUGUUGGCUUAGAAGCAGCCAUCAUUUAAAGAAAGCGUAAUAGCUCACUGGUCGAGUCGGCCUGCGCGGAAGAUGUAACGGGGCUAAACCAUGCACCGAAGCUGCGGCAGCGACGCUGAUGCGUUGUUGGGUAGGGGAGCGU
rnacentral:rRNA from 1 species